CCUCAUUACGUCAUCUAAUUUAUUCAUUCUGAAACUUUUCUUUCCACACACAAAAUGGACCUACGAACACUCCGGUUGAGUUUGAAGAACAAGAAAAAACAGUAGAGGUCUACCUAUAUGGUUCAAGAUGAUGAUCAUAUAAGUGCAUGCAUCAUUUUGCAGAUUCUCAUCCAGGAUGAUGCAGUUUUACAAUUUCCAUGGAGGUGAUUGAUGAUAAUAAAUAAUCGGUGAAGUAGGCCUAAUAGAACAGCGACUAGACCACAAAGAAAAAUACAACCUACAGCAGUUAUAUGAGACUGGUGUAACAGAUGUUUUCAUUCAAGAAAUCCAACAAUUCAACAUUGAAGAGUCUGACUUAGGAACCACUUGAUGAAGAUGGAAAAGGUUUUUUUUUUCCAAGUCCAAUUUUUCACACACAAAAAAAUUAUUAUCACAACCCCAAAUUCAUGACGUAUGAAAUUUCUUGUUGAUUUUCAUUAAAACUGGUUGCAAAAGGAGAAGCUAUAAACAUACAAAUAGGAGCGGCGGAGUGAAGUUGAAAAUGGGGGGGGGGGGGGCAUAGGGAAAAUGCUGUAUUACAUGAAAUUUUUAAGAAGUUGCGAGCGAGCAAAAUCUGUACGAAACUGCUUAUAUACCCCACCCAUGAAUUAUUAAACUUAAUGCACAAAGGAUUUCCUUCAUAAGUAUAUUAUCGAAAUGAGAAUAUUGUUUUCUUGUUUCAAAGGGCAAUCGUCAUGGUGACCAUAAAACGGGUCCUUCUCAGGUGAAAGGGGCACAGAACAAGUUCUUUAGGAGCACUUUUCUUGGGUAAAAAGGGGGCAGUGAUUCGAGAAAGGGCACUUACAAGAAGGCAAGGGUUAACACAUGAAACGGGCCCUCAGAUGAAAGGGCACAGAACACGUUCCGGGGGGGGGGGCAUUUUUCGGUUAAAAAAAUUGCAUACAAGGAAGAGCACUUGGUAACACCUAAAACAGGUUCUCGUCAGGUGAAAGGGACACAGUACACGUUCGUGAGGGGGCAUUUUUCUUGCAUAAAAAGGCACUUUUCAGUGCUUCAAGAAGUAGGGGGAACUGUGCCCCCUCCUCCCCAGGAUCGCUGCCCCAGCAUACAAAAAAAUUCUUUUGGUUCAAAGUAUUAACAUACGCUUAAGAAAAAGGUAAAGCUUAAUCCUCUGAUAAUGUAAUAUUUUUUUAUGGCUAAUUAAUAAAAUUCACCACUAACCAG